UACAGAGGGGGCAAGCGUUGUUCGGAAUUACUGGGCGUAAAGGGCGCGUAGGCGGCCUUCUAAGUCGAACGUGAAAUCCCCGGGCUCAACCCGGGAACUGCGUCCGAUACUGGAAGGCUUGAAUCCGGGAGAGGGAUGCGGAAUUCCAGGCGUAGCGGUGAAAUGCGUAGAUAUCUGGAGGAACACCGGUGGCGAAGGCGGCAUCCUGGACCGGUAUUGACACUGAAAAGCGAAAGCCAGGGGAGCAAACGGG
rnacentral:rRNA from 1 species